rfam:Aedes aegypti strain Liverpool supercont1.47 genomic scaffold, whole genome shotgun sequence.
CCUCUCAUGGCGUAGUGGUUAACGCGCCCCAACUAGAGAUCGGGAAGUCGUGAGUUCGAUUCUCACUGAGAAGA